CAUCAUAUUAUAAAACUCAAAUGAGAUGCCAAAUGUUACGGAUACCUUACCAACCAGCCGUGCUGCACGAGUGGAAUCAAAUCCUGUCGCCAAUACUUUAGACAUGGCUACAGAAAGUAAACAAGAAAGGAUCGGCUUGUCUUGCCCAUGAUCCACAAGAUUCUUCUUGUCGUGAAUUGUUUUUGUUAUAAGUCGGGAGGAACCUACAUAGGAGUUUCUCUGGUUCUCACAAGUCACCACUUCUUCUCUUCCAGCUCCACCAAGACAAUGCAGGAUGCUUUCGCUUCCAUUCCAAGCAUGGCUAGAGUGCUAGACUACCCAUCUAGAGUCGGUGUCGGCAAACAUUUGGCCGAUGAAAUCAGGGUAGAAGAAUGGCCGCCGGACCUAAACAUGGAUGUCGCUUCAGUGUCUUCAACCAUCGACGCAACACGAUAUUAUCUGAGGUCGGUUGGAAAUACGUACAUCUGCAUUAUGAGAUCAUGGGGUUGUCUAGCAGCUAGGCCAGCUUUCCAGUCUCCACAUACAAAGGCGAUGAUGCUGUGUGAUGUUGCCCGAUGUCUGCAGUUGCAUGGAAGAAAGCAGUGAGUUGAAACAUGAGUGAUCAGGAGCUGCGCUUAGUUCUAAAGAGUGAACAUGCAUUAUGCAACAUCAUCUGAAGCACGCUGACAAGAAGAUAGAUAACUGAUGACAAGGAGGACUACAGAGUGGUGAGGUUACUUACCGGAGUAAGCUAUCUGAAGAAAAUUAAGAAGACAAGUACUUCAGAAUUCUGGUUUGAAAGAAUAAUAAAUAGAGUGACCAGUUACCUGCAAGAGUGAAGGAGGGAAAU
rnacentral:lncRNA from 1 species